UACGUAGGUGGCAAGCGUUGUCCGGAACUAUUGGGCGUAAAGCGCGCGCAGGCGGUUUCUUAAGUCUGAUGUGAAAGCCCACAGCUCAACUGUGGAGGGCCAUUGGAAACUGGGGAACUUGAGUACAGAAGAGGAGAGCGGAAUUCCGCGUGUAGCGGUGAAAUGCGUAGAUAUGUGGAGGAACACCAGUGGCGAAGGCGGCUCUCUGGUCUGCAACUGACGCUGAGGCGCGAAAGCGUGGGUAGCGAACAGG
rnacentral:misc_RNA from 1 species